GACGAACGCUAGCGGCAGGCCUCACACAUGCAAGUCGAACGAGUGGCGGACGGGUGAGUAAUGUCUGGGAAACUGCCCGAUGGAGGGGGAUAACUACUGGAAACGGUCGCUAAUACCGCAUACCAUCGGAUGUGCCCAGAGGGGAUUAGCUAGUAGGUGGGGUAACGGCUCACCUAGGCGACGAUCCCUAGCUGGUCUGAGAGGAUGACCAGCCACACUGGAACGGAGACACGGUCCAGACGCCUACGGGAGGCAGCAGUGGGGAAUAUUGCACAAUGGGCGCAAGCCUGAUGCAGCCAUGCCGCGUGUAUGAAGAAGGCCUUCGGGUUGUAAAGUACUUUCAGCGAGGAGGCGUUACUCGCAGAAGAAGCACCGGCUAACUCCGUGCCAGCAGCCGCGGUAAUAC
rnacentral:rRNA from 1 species